UACGUAGGGGGCUAGCGUUGUCCGGAUUUAUUGGGCGUAAAGAGCGUGUAGGCGGCCUGGAAGGUCCGUUGUGAAAACUCGAGGCUUAACCUCGAGACGUCGGCGGAAACCAUCUGGCUAGAGUCCGGAAGAGGAGAGUGGAAUUCCUGGUGUAGCGGUGAAAUGCGCAGAUAUCAGGAAGAACACCCGUGGCGAAGGCGGCUCUCUGGGACGGUACUGACACUGAGACGCGAAAGCGUGGGGAGCGAACAGG
rnacentral:rRNA from 1 species